CGAUGACCGCGCCGGCACGACCUCCUUGCCCAUCCCCGAUCUACGCCGCCAUCGCCCAUCAUUCAGAGUCGAGCCGCCGCGAACAGGAUCAUGCCAUGCUGUACCGAGGUGAGGCAUUCGUUCAUUGGCAACCGUCGCUCAUCCAGGAAAUGGAAUGUAGUGGUCUCCAUCUCUCACAAUGAGACGGCCAUGUUGUACCGAGGAGUUGUGGCUCCCGCGGCACCCGAGGACGAGCAGCUGGCUGGUUACUUUAGAGUCUGUUUGCUACAGCUCAAAACAGCUUCAUAAGCUGUUGUGAGCUGUUUUUUUUUUUGCCAAAUACUUAUUUCCAAUACAGCUUUAUGGGUGAAGCUAUUUUUCCCCUCCUCUCACAAAGACAUAAGUUAGGAUGAAGCUGGAAAAAAGUCUCUUAUUGCAGCUUCUCCCUCAUUUCUCUCUCUCAACUAUGCAUGAAAGUAGUUGGUGAAGCUAUUUUGCCAAACACUUUCUCCAAAACAGCUCAGCUUCAUCUAGAAAGUCACUCAUGAAGCUAUUUUCUAAAAAAACAGCUUUACUAGUGAAGUUGAGUUGUGCCAAACAAGCUCUUAAUGUGUUGCUGCAUCUUUGACGUGAGAAACUUGAGUAAGUUUUGAACUGAAUAAUUGUCUGCUAAAUGUUUAGGUGCUCUUUGGAUAUUGGGAUAUAAGCGGUGGGAUAGUGCAAGGGAAAUAAAUGGCUAGGAUUAAAUGAGGGAUAUAUAUGUGCUUUCAAAUUUCAAAUUUCAGUUAAUAUGAAGCUUUGUUGGGGACACGACAUUGUUAGUCUUCAAUUUGGCAUGAGAUUAUUUGUUUACACUGAGUAUGGCGCGACAGACGGUGGCUGCUAGAGAUGCACAACUUCUGGUUGACCGGAGCCAGAGGCGUGCGUAUGCAGCUCUAGAGAGUGGCAACGGUGGUGCAGGAAUUGGGAGCGCAAGGCAGUGACGGCGAAGGAAGUGCUGCACGGCAGCUGAGCAAUGACAGUGAAGGGAAUGCCUCAAUGCAUGAUAAAUUUUUUGAGGCCUGAUAUGUUUAUAUUUUUUUUUGCAAUUUACAAAUGUUUGUGUGCAUAGCUUGGAUCUAUUAGAUUUGAUGGUGCCUACAAAACGAGAUCGCAGUUUCACUUCGAAGAAUUUUUGGAUCAGUUUGGACGUUCGUCUUCUGGAGGCCAAGCUAGAGAGCUGCUGUGAUGCACUCAAUCAGCGCCUGGUGCCUAGACCGAUUUGGCCGUUUGUUCUCUCACGCAAGUGCAGCAGUUCGUUCCUGUCUUGAGCCUCUGUUUUCUGGUUGGUCAAGUUUAUUUCUUGCUUCCUGUCGUGGAGUUCAGCUCUCCCAGUACUGCUUGCUUUGCUUUUUUUUUUUCUGAGCUCAUCUGUUGUGGCCAGCUGCUCAUCCAGGUGAUGAUUUGUUCCUUGGGUGAUUGACCGGAGUUGUUCGUCAGUUUUCAGCACUGCUUGUGUUUCAAUCGUAGUUUUUAUUUCAGCAAGCAGGAAGCUUCUGCAGUGGUACUAGUUCGUCCUCGUCUGGUUGCUCCCCAUCAGGUGUUGGUUGACCAGCAAGAGCAGCAGUAGUACGUACUUGCUUUGAGUCUCUAAUUUUGAUUGGACAAGAGUGUGCUUUUGCUUCAGUGAAAUUGCUAAGUUUUGAUUAGAAGUUGACUGCACUGCAGUGUGUGCGUCAAUUGCUGCCUGCAGUUUUUCUCUGUAUUCUUUAGGCUUAAAUUUUCUGAUAUUUUUCAGUCCUUUUUGCAGCUACGUUUUUCUUGGUUCUUGCGUAGUUUAAUUGUUUGAGCUCCGAAAUGUAUUCCGUCUGUUACAUUAAUCUUCUACUGCUGCGAGAAUUUUUUCUAAGUGCUCUUGUCACCGGUUGACUUGAGUAAUUUAGUUUUUGAUACCCACUUGUGUUUUGUGGUGAUUUGGGACAGUAACCAAAAAUAUUUCAA